UUAAGUAAGGAAGGGCGUACGGCGAAUGCCUUGCCACUCGAAACUGAAGAAGGACGCGCCAAACUGCGAAAAGCUCCGUGAAGCUGUAAGGAAGCGAAGAAGCGGAGGUGUCCGAAUGGGGGAACCCGGCAGCAGACAUGAGCUGUCAUCUGCAGGUGAAUACAUGGCCUGCAAGAGAGGUACCCGGCGAACUGAAACAUCUAAGUAGCCGGAGGAAAAGAAAACAACAGUGAUUCCCUGAGUAGCGGCGAGCGAAAGGGGAGAAGCCCAAACCGGUUGAAGGACCGGGGUUGAAGGACCAUGACAUGGCAAGAACGAGGAUAGGAGAACGGGAUCGAAAGCCCGGCCGAAGAAGGUGAAAGCCCUGUAACCGAAAUCCGAGUAAAGCCUAAUGGGAUCCUGAGUACGGCGAGACACGAGAAAUCUUGUCGGAAGCAGGCGGGACCAUCCGCCAAGGCUAAAUAUAAACGAGUGAGCGAUAGUGAACCAGUACCGUGAGGGAAAGGUGAAAAGAACCGCGGGAGCGGAGUGAAAGAGAACCUGAAACCGUAUGCCUACAAGAAGUCAGAGCCCGUUAAGGGGUGAUGGCGUGCCUUUUGUAGAAUGAACCGGCGAGUUGCGACAGACUGCGAGGUUAAGGAGGAAAGACCGGAGCCGAAGCGAAAGCGAGUCUUAAGAGGGCGAAAGUAGGAUGUUGCAGACCCGAAACCGGGUGAUCUAGCCAUGAGCAGGUUGAAGUUGAGGUGAAACUCAAUGGAGGACCGAACCGACUACCGUUGAAAAGUUAGCGGAUGACUUGUGGCUAGGGGAGAAAUUCCAAUCGAACCCGGAGAUAGCUGGUUCUCCCCGAAAUAGCUUUAGGGCUAGCGUCGGAAAGAACCUUAGUGAAGGUAGAGCACUGAAUGUGUGAUGGCCCCAUCCCGGGGUACUGAAUACAAUCAAACUGCGAAUGUCAUUAAGGAUGUCCGGCAGUCAGACUGUGAGUGAUAAGGUCCAUGGUCAAGAGGGAAACAGCCCAGACCGCCAGUUAAGGUCCCAAAAUACAGGCUAAGUGGAAAAGGAUGUGGGGAUGCCCAGACAACUAGGAGGUUGGCUCAGAAGCAGCCAUCCUUUAAAGAGUGCGUAACAGCUCACUAGUCGAGUGACCCUGCGCCGAAAAUGUACCGGGGCUAAGCCUGAUACCGAAACUGCGGAUUGUAGGAAACUAUAGUGGUAGGGGAGCGUUGUAUACGAGCAGAAGCCGUACCGUGAGGAGCGGUGGAUUGUAUAGAAGUGAGAAUGCCGGUGUGAGUAGCGAGAUGUAGGUGAGAAUCCUACACACCGAAAGCCCAAGGAUUCCAGGGGAAGGUUCGUCCGCCCUGGGUAAGUCGGGACCUAACGCGAGGCCGAAAGGCGUAGUGGAUGGAAAGCAGGCGAAAGAUUCCUGCACCCGUAUAUGGAGCGAAGGAGUGACGGAGACGGAUAGUGUGACCCUCUUAAUGGAUUGAGGGCGAAGCGAAGCGGCUGGUUACCAGGCAAAUCCGGUAACCAAAAGGCUAGAGCGUGACAGGUAAGCGAAAUCUUCGGAAAGUAGCGAAGCACAUGAUGACGGCUUCCAGGAAAAGCUUCUGGCAAUGCAUAUGCGGCCCGUACCAAAACCGACACAGGUGGGCAGGGAGAGAAUCCCGAGGUGAGCGAGAGAACUGUUGCCAAGGAACUCGGCAAAAUGACUCCGUAAGUUAGCGAGAAGGAGUGCUUAAGCAAUUAAGCCGCAGUGAAGAGGCCCAAGCGACUGUUUAACUAAAACACAGCUCUCUGCGAAGUCGCAAGACGAAGUAUAGGGGGUGACACCUGCCCGGUGCUGGAAGGUUAAGAGGAUCUGUUAAGAGCGAUCUGAAGCAGUGAUCCGAAGCCCCAGUGAACGGCGGCCGUAACUAUAACGGUCCUAAGGUAGCGAAAUUCCUUGUCAGGUAAGUUCUGACCCGCACGAAAGGUGUAACGAUUUGGGCGCUGUCUCGGCAGCAGACUCGGUGAAAUCUUAGUACCUGUGAAAAUGCAGGUUACCCGCAACUAGACGGAAAGACCCCAUGGAGCUUUACUGCAGCCUGAUAUUGAAUUCUGGUCAUACAUGUACAGGAUAGGUGGGAGACAAAGAGACGUGCACGCCAGUGUACGAGGAGUCGACGUUGGGAUACCACUCUUGUGUGACCGGGGUUCUAACCUGGUAUCGAGAACAGGUACGGGGAGAGUGUCAGGUGGGCAGUUUGACUGGGGCGGUCGCCUCCCAAAGAGUAACGGAGGCGCCCAAAGGUACGCUCAGAUUGGAUGGAAACCAAUCGUCGAGUGCAAUUGCAGAAGCGUGCUUGACUGUGAGACAGACAAGUCGAACAGGGACGAAAGUCGGGAAUAGUGAUCCGGCGGUGCCGAAUGGAAGGGCCGUCGCUCAACGGAUAAAAGCUACCCUGGGGAUAACAGGCUGAUCUCGCCCAAGAGUUCACAU
rnacentral:rRNA from 1 species